UGGCUCAGUGGUUAAAGCGAUCAACUGCUAAUUGAAAUGUCGGUGGUUCAAAACCACC
rnacentral:tRNA from 1 species